CUCGUCGGCGCCCAGAUCGCGCGUCGUCCAGCCGCCCAAUGUCCAUGUCAUGACGCGGGUUGCCGUGUCGCUUGGCGUGGCGCGCGCGAGGGACGUGAUUUCCUCCAUUGGUCGUCGUCCUUUUUUUUCUUCUUCUUGUGCUGUGGUUGUCUCGUCGUUGUUGUGUGCUCGCGUGUGUGUGCGCGUGCCUAGGGUCCUUUUUUUCGUGGCCGCUUUGUCGCGUAUCUUGUGUCGGGCUGCGUGGGUGUGGACGGGGGCUCUUGGAGGCGCCUGGGCGGUACUCUUUUGUCACGCGCGCGACGCCGCAGUGUAGGAAAGACGACAAAAGAAACAAUAAAGAGGGCGAGAACAAUC
rnacentral:lncRNA from 1 species